AUAUGAAUCACCAGGGGAUCUUGUUAAAAUGUGGAUUCUGGCUCUGCAGGUCUGGGAUGGAGCCCGAGAGUCUGCAUUUUUAACAAGCUCCCGGGGGGAUACUGAU
rnacentral:pre_miRNA from 1 species